rnacentral:rRNA from 1 species
CGCACAAGCGGUGGAGCAUGUGGCUUAAUUCGAUGCAACGCGAAGAACCUUACCUACUCUUGACAUCCAGAGAAUUUAGCAGAGAUGCUUUAGUGCCUUCGGGAACUCUGAGACAGGUGCUGCAUGGCUGUCGUCAGCUCGUGUUGUGGAAUGUUGGGUUAAGUCCCGCAACGAGCGCAACCCUUAUCCUUUGUUGCCAGCGAUUCGGUCGGGAACUCAAAGGAGACUGCCGGUGAUAAACCGGAGGAAGGUGGGGAUGACGUCAAGUCAUCAUGGCCCUUACGAGUAGGGCUGCACACGUGCUACAAUGGCGUAUACAAAGAGAAGCGACCUCGCGAGAGCAAGCGGAACUCAUAAAGUACGUCGUAGUCCGGAUUGGAGUCUGCAACUCGACUCCAUGAAGUCGGAAUCGCUAGUAAUCGUAGAUCAGAAUGCUACGGUGAAUACGUUCCCGGGCCUUGUACACACCGCCCGUCACACCAUGGGAGUGGGUUGCAAAAGAAGUAGGUAGCUUAACCUUCGGGAGGGCGCUUACCACUUUGUGAUUCAUGA